rnacentral:hammerhead_ribozyme from 1 species
AUCCAGCUGACGAGUCCCAAAUAGGACAAAAGGCGAGUCUUGGAU